rnacentral:tRNA from 1 species
UCCGAGGUCGUCUAAUCGGUAAGACGCCGCGCUCUGGUCGCGGCAAUCGAGGUUCGAAUCCUUGCCCCGGAGCC